GAGGUGGCUUCCGGCCGCCAGGCGAGACUCCGCGGGAAAACUCCCUGCUAGAGAGACUAGGAGAUUUGGGGCUGCGGCCGUUUCCUCCGGAGCACCCACGGGACUGUGUGCUGGGGUCCCUCCACCGGCUGUGUCCUUUAUUCUUCUUUCUCACCCAACGAUUUACCUGAACGGUUAUAAAGUGCACGUUAUUUCCCUAAGCACUUUGAGUAUAUUGGCCCACUGCAUUCUGGACUUCAAAAUUUCUGAUGCGAAAUAUGCUGAUACUUUUGUUGAAGAAAUCUGGUCCUUCUUACUGAUGUGUUGCUCUUCUUCAUGGCUCGUGAAAACUAUUAGAGUCAUCCAAGGUCCUGACAUCCACUGCCUUCACUCAAACCCUUCUGGCCAGUUCCAUCCUACAGAUUCUAAGUUCCUGACUCAGAAUCUUACUGUUGUGAACCUUUACACCCAGGUUUGGAGACAGAAAGGAGCACCGCCAAGUGAGGCAGAGCAGUCUCAGAAACAUAGGAAAAUGGUGGGAAGAGAGAUCAGCAACGUUAACUGGGUGUCAAGAAAACAUACCGAGAUUGAAGCCAUCCACUUCUGCAGGAACACCGAAAAGAAAGCUUACAAUCUGAAGGUGUCCGUUCCUACACUGGUCAGACCACUGUCCUUGGGGCAGCUGGGGUCUUUGGGACCCUCCACCGGGCUCGCCGGUCCGUCGGACUUUUGGCUGAGAUCCGUGUCAGACUCCUCCGAAUAGUCGUCUGUUGGCAUCGAGGGCUGAACCCCUGAGGUGCUGCAUGAACUUGAGGUAACCGUUGAAGAUGAGGAGAGAGGAGGAAAAGAAGGGGGCUUCGCUGCCGAAGCCCGGGAGACCACUUGCGGCCAAGACUUCCUGGAGGCGUGGGGGGAAGCGGAGGAGGGGGCGGCGGCCGACGGGGGAGGGGGGCUGUCGUUUGAGUGAGCGGCAGACUGCGAGGUAGAUGCGGUGCUAGGAUCGGGGAAGCAGGCAGAGUGAGGUAAUAAACUAGGGUGCUCUUUGGCGUUUC
rnacentral:lncRNA from 1 species